AUUUCUGAUAAUGUGUAAUUGAGAGUUAUUAGAAAUUUUUAUAUGAAAUAUAUACAAAAAUUAUCUUCUUAGUCAUUAUAUUUAUAUUUAAAUGAUUAUAAUUAAUUUUACAGAAUAUUCUUUAGCGUGUUUUUCGUUUGGGUGGCAUUAGCAACAACUGUCGACAUUAUGCGAAGAUUGCAUAUCAUACCAAAUAAUGAAACCAACUUCUUUAAGAAUAUUAUCUCCGUAUCUGCAUUUACAUCAGGAAAAAAACUUUUUAGUGACACAUUAUGGAAAAGAUCAGCCUCUUUAUGUGGAAUCAAGACUCUCGUAAUAUACGCAAUAGUAUUGGGUCAUAUAACACUUUAUAAUUUCUAUAUGUUUACCGUUUUAGGUAAGUAUAUAUUUAUUUUUUUUUUAUAUUUUUACUCCGUUUUUUAUUGGUGACUAAUAAGCGACGGACAUUCUAUGUCCACAACCGCUCAUUCCUGGAAGGAUUGUUACCAGGUGAAGGAUUUGGCUUAAUGAUUCAAUCCCCACGUCUAAAAAGCCUUGGUAUGAGAUUAAAAAGUGAACCUAGAUCAGCUGGUGCGGAAGCUAAGGAAAUUGGUGGAAUCAGCCAAUAGCGAAUAUUUAUUGUCAUAAGGAGAUUACAAUAAAAGGGGG
rnacentral:lncRNA from 1 species